rnacentral:rRNA from 1 species
AUUCCAGCUCCAGUAGCGUAUAUUAAAGUUGUUGCAGUUAAAAAGCUCGUAGUUGAACUUCAGACCUGGCCGGGCGGUCUGCCUUAACGGUAUGUACUGUCUGGCCGGGCCUUACCUCUUGGUGAGCCGGCAUGCCCUUCACUGGGUGUGUCGGGGAACCAGGACCUUUACCUUGAGAAAAUUAGAGUGUUCAAAGCAGGCCUAUGCCCGAAUACAUUAGCAUGGAAUAAUAAAAUAGGACGUGCGGUUCUAUUUUGUUGGUUUCUAGAGUCGCCGUAAUGAUUAAUAGGGAUAGUUGGGGGCAUUAGUAUUCAGUUGCUAGAGGUGAAAUUCUUGGAUUUACUGAAGACUAACUACUGCGAAAGCAUUUGCCAAGGAUGUUUUCAUUA